UUUAAUUUUUCUCCUAUAACAGUGAAGGCUCAUUGCAUUACCACCUUUGGUGCAAUUCGGUAUCACAAAAUGAAGGAUGGAGGUGGCUGCAGCGUUCCUUUAUGGUGAAUAUGGCUGGGACUGGUGCUGCCAACGCUUCAUCCGUAUCUUCCAUCAGUGAUCUUGGCUCACUCAGGUCAUGGUUUGGAUUCCUAAAAAUUUUAUUUCACAAGUAACGAAGGGCAAUGAAGCCUUUGUGUGUAGUGAUAGGUUAAAUUGUUUUCAGUCACCUGAAAGAGUCAAAGAUGAGGGUAAUAACCUUUGGGCAGUUUCCAUCAACAACAAAGCUUUCAUCUUGAAGAAAGUUAGAAACAGUGAAGACUUAACAGACAAAAAGGUCAUCUCUUGCAAAGAGAAAUGAUUUUUUAAAAUAACAACAUGCUGUAUUAAAAUAACUUCAGUCAAAAAGAUCACUUUAUUCCUAAGAGCAACAGUUACAUGUUUUGUGCUUUAACAGUGUUGUGACUCCUGAAUCACCAGACUGAUGGUGGAAAGGAGAUUCCCCUGGUGGCUGCCAUGGGUGAGAGUUUGUAGGAGUUGUGCCAACUGAUAAAAGCUGAACAUCUACAAGGAGCUACAGGACAGUUAGGCUGGAGAUUCCUGCAGCCUGGUGGAAGUCCCAUUGGCUUUCUCCAUUGUCUUUCUCUAUUGGCUUUCUGCACAUACUGGAACACAGUGCUUUGGUGGUGGCAAAAAAACACAUGAUACAGCUGUGCUGCCGACCGUGCUGCAGGUGGCGAUGCUGCACCAGGACUGUGCCGAGAUUCAGCUCCAGAAAAUCAAGAAUUUUACGAAAAUAGCAAAGCCUUUUGGCCUCUCGUACAGGAGAUAGGAGUGCACCCAGCAUGAAAUUGGACAAAUGUAUGUUGCCAAGAGUGGUCAGCUGGAGAUAUUUGGACACUUGAAAAGAUCCUCAGAAACUGCUUUUGGAGGACUUUGAGCCCGUGCUGCAAGGGUCUUGCCAGCAGCCAAUAAGAACAUCAAGUGCUCUAAUCCCCUUUACCUCGGCGUGGGAGGCAGCAGUGCGGGAGGUGCCGGCUCUGCAGGCAGCAUCACGGUGAUGUGCCCUUGCUCCCAGUCCAUGUGCAGGUAGAGUGGCAACAGCUGAUUUCCAAAUUGGGCAUAGAUUCUGGAAGAAGCAGAGGGAAGUCUCUCAACUCUUCGCUUUAGCCACCCUACAAUGUGUUUCUUACUUUGUGACGUGCACAAAAUGAAUGGGAAAAGCAGUUUUACUGGAUAGAAAUGGUAACUGAGUGAGAUUUGUUAUAAUCAUAUUGCUAGACGUUUCAUCUCUUCCUUCUCUUUUUAAGAGAAAAACGAACUGCUGUUUUUGGGGCAAUGUGGGGUCUGUGUGGCACAGCAAAAAUUCCUCAGCUUAUUUCAGACAGUUUGUACUGCUGUCUUUUCUGUCCUUACAUAUUUAUACUUCUUUUCUUAGCAAACAUGUUCUUUCAGUGCUUCUUUGUCAGGAGGAUGAUGAAGGCUAACUAAAUGCAUCUAAACACAACCACAGAAAAGGGGGAAAAUAUGCUGUGUGAGUAAACCUGAUGCUCUUCCUACUUCAUUAGAAUUUAAUGAAGAAAUACUCAGUGCCCAACAGGGGAAUCCUAAUUCAUUAUGUCCUUUGAAUUCUCAUUAAGCAUAUGUACAGUGACUACCAGAAAACAGCACACUUUCAACUCUGUUGUCUAUUACUCUGCCUAAUAGCUCUGUUGUCCAUUACACUUAAAUGCUGAUAACAGGAGAAACCUAUGCAAGUUUUAUUCCAGUAAUUAAUUUUCACUGGUUAAUUCCUGAUGACUUUCCAAUGUUGUACUGGUGCAGUGAAUCAGAAUUGUUGCACGAGUGAGAUUAAAGCUGUCUUGGUGAUGCUCUGAGAAAAGGGACAGACCCCACUGCACCUCUUGUGCCCAUCACAAGGUUCUGCCUUGGAACUGCUCUGUUAUGUGGAACUCUAUUCUGCACAUAAGUGGUGUAAACUGAAGGGCUGAAUGAUGACAGAAGCUGUCUGGAGCUAUCCAGGAGGUGUAAUGCUCUGUGUAGCUUUGCACUACUUGGGUGAGCGCUUUGGAAGGAGGCAUGUGCCAGAAAACAUGGCAUUGCUAAAUGUUUCUGACGUAUUAUUUAGCUUCAGGCAAUGUUUAAAAGCUGCUUAAUCGCUCACAGCUAUAUUUAAGUUGUAUUAUUGCAAUUGUCAAAGGAGACAGAUAUUCAUUCCUAUAUUUCUUCACAGUCAUUAAUACUCCCAUUUUUUACCUUUAUUACUCAAAAUGGUUAAUGUUUCUGAAAUAAAGAAUCUGUAAGAGCAUCACAGUGGAGAAACGGCUGGUUCUGUUACAGCUGCUUUCCAGAGAUCUUCUCACCCCUGUUUCUUGCAGUUCAGCUUCAGUCUCCUGAUGGCAAAUCUUGAAAACCCAAGAAGGGUUUUCUGGAUGGGAGAGGAGCUGAUGGCAGGGAGUGAAGGCUCAGCAGCAGGAAUGUCCUGGGGCGCUGCGUGGUGCUCCAGGCUGGAAUGGGAGCAGGGUAGGCACUGCAGUGGCACUGCACAGGGAUACAACCUCCCAGGAAUGUGGGGCGAAGCCACCCACAGCUCUGACUGCAAAAGAUGUGAAGGCUGAGCUCAUGGUGGUGCUCAGAUAGCUUGUUGGUGAUGGUUGCUGCUUUGGUGUUAUUUUCUCAACAGAUUUCUGCUUGAUAAUCUUGUGUUUCCUAAUUCCGAUAGGAAGGUGAUGCCAGCCUUCAGAAGCUCUGAUUGAAUCCUUUAUGAGAUAGCCUUAAGUCAGUUAAUAUCUUCACAGUGGAGAUAACUGUUGAAACAACGUGCUCUUUGGUGCGUGUGAAACGAUCUGCAUAUUCAAUCUGAGAUUUGUGUGAGUAAUUAGAAAGUCGAUCCAAAGUGGAAACUCUUGGAUGUCUCUUGAUCAACCUCAGCAGCUCUCCACAAGCUGUCUGCCACGAAGAAAGGAAGGGGACAUCUCACUGGUGGUGGCAGACCUGUGUGCCCAUACGGUGCCUGGUACUUUCCAUGCAUCCCCCUAAGGUGAACAUGCUUUACUGCACCAAAUGAUAUCUGCUUUCCCAAGUCAUGCGUAUUUUCUCUGAUUUUUAUUGCUUUAUAUUGGAUUUGAUUUUUUCCUUACAGGGGUGAAAAUAAAUAUAGUAAAUAUCUCUAUAAAGAUAGGCUGCAUUUGUUGGUGUCUUUUAACCUAUUGACUGCUCUUGAAAUGCCCUAAAUGCACACAGCCCUGCUCCCAGACGGCUCUGCAUGGUUAGGCUUUAGAAAUUGUUCAUUAUUUGUGUCAUUCCUAUGACAAAUCUCCUCUGUAAUGAGGUUUUAUCCUUUUAAAACAAAAUAACUUUUAUUAAUUCCUUGAAAUAAUAAUCGAAGGCUUGACUUUCAAGGAGGGGAAGGCAUUUGUUGUGAUUAAUAGCAUGCAUUCACUGUGCUUCACGUAACUUUGCUAAAUCUUAGUAAUGGUGUGGAGGUCAGUUUCACUGUUAUUAAUAGUAAUGAUAAUUAUAUCUUUUGGAAGCUGUCAGAAAAGUAUCUUUUGUACAAGUCAGAACAGUGUAAACAGACUGUACAGGCAGGCACUACCCUUUCCAUCAAUAGGUAAACAAUCUUUGUUAAGCUCAUCUUGAUAGUCUUAUUUUGUUGCCACAUUUUAAUUACUCAUCCUGUCUGUUUAUAUUCCAUUGCGUUUUGCUGAAGAUACAAGCUUUAAAAAUCAUUGGUAUUUAGGAAAAUCCAAAGCUGGGGUGAUGCAUGCUCAGGUGCUAAUUUAUUUACAUCAAUUAAUUUCAGGCCCCUGAUGUAAACCAAUUAGUAUUCAACACUUAAUGGAGUCAUUAUCUGUCAGAUUAGCUUUUAGAAAUGCUUGUCACUGCUACAGGACCAGGCAGCAGAACUUUGCUAAUAAAACUAGCAGAAUUAAUGGAGUGAACAGCAUAGAUAAUGACUUAAUGUGGAACAUACAGUAUAGAAAAGAGACUGAACAACUGUCUUCAAGAAAUGAAGAUAUCAUUGAGCUAGCUACUUUAUUCCAAAAACAAGCUUAGGCGGUGCUCUUCAGAAACAUCAAAGGUGUCUAGGUAAGCCUUUGCAAAGUUGUGUUUCCUGAUAAAUAAUUUACCACCUUUGUGCCCUCACAAAUGCAUAAUCUACCUCCUGUGCUUGAUGCAGCACACAAAUAAAUAAGUGCUUCACCUUGCACCAAAGCGUGGAGCCAAUGGUGGGGACAGCAUCCCAGGCUAUUGAGCUGUUCUGUGGGUAUCAUCUCCCCACAGCAACUUCUCUACAUGGAACCUACACUCCAAAAAGCACUGAUGACCCAACCUCAGCACUGAGGGGCACUGCAAAAUAAAUUGUAUUUGAGAAGAUCACCUGGGAGAUUUAAUUCUACAGGCAAGCAAGACUGACACUGCACCUUCAAUAAUCUGGCAAGAUCUGCAAGCAGCAAUAAAUCUCCAAAAAGAAUUGCUGCUGCUAUGAAGAUUUUCAGAAGCUUUUCUCACAGGUGCAAGAUAACCAUUUGUUGUCUUGUUCUCCUAAGCUGCUGCCUUUUUUGUGUUUCACUAAGGCAUUCUUUGUAAAGUCUUUCUUUGAGAUUUUUAGCUGGGCCAGUCAUUCCAGCAUGCUCCAUGUCAGCCACUGUCCCUGCAUGGAGGAGAACCACAGAAUUGAGUUCCAAAUGAAAAUUUUAGAGACAACUACAAGUGCAGCUUAAAAUGCAUAGUAUUUUUGCAUUGUAAACAGGAACACUGUCAUGUACCUGCUCAUGUGUUUGUGAUAAGGGUGACCACACUGGCUAUAACGGGUUAAUGCUACACUUUGGGAUGCAGACUGGUUUGGGGGCCCUCUGGCCCUUCUUGUCUUUGGGAGGUAAAUCUACAGCUAAACUCCAGCCCUUCACCUCUGAGAAAGCUUAUCACUUCUGAGAAUUUCUAAAAUCAUUUUAUAUAGUUAGUUUCAUG